rnacentral:lncRNA from 1 species
CAAGAUUUGUGUACCUGUAACUAGUAGCUUAAUUAUCUAAUUCAGAUUCAAAUUAUUACGAUCCAAUCUGCAAAUUUUAGAACCCGGUAAAGUUUCUUAGGUAAAAAUCGAGGACUAGUUCUAACAAAACUAUUCUGUGUCUGAAAAGUAUAUGUAGGAGUACUUAAGAUGGUGUUAGUUUAGCUCGAACGACUUUUCUCCCGCUAACAAUCGUAAAUGAAAUAAAUCAUUCACUUUCUUAUAAUCAGAGACAACCUUCUCAGGAAUUUAAAACCUUUCUCUCAGUUUCUUCUUGUCUCCUAAUUGAACUUGUACU